AACCAUUCUCACCUGCGGCUAGACCUGCGGAGGGAUCAUUACCGAGUGUGAACCCCCCCGUAAAAAAGAGGGGUUACCUCCCGUCCUUUGCUGGGAACCCCUUUCCAACUUGGAAGGAGGUUGUUUUCAGACCCUUCUGCUUCGGUGGGGUAACCCACCGGAACAACCUCAAAAAUAUUCUCAAUUCAAAACCGUUCAGUCCGAGAACUUUUUUGAAAAGCGAAAAAACUUUUAACAAUG
rnacentral:misc_RNA from 1 species